rnacentral:rRNA from 1 species
UACGUAGGGGGCAAGCGUUGUCCGGAAUCAUUGGGCGUAAAGAGCGUGUAGGCGGCUCGAUAAGUCUGCUGUGAAAGCCCAGGGCUCAACCCUGGAAGGCCGGUGGAAACUGUCGGGCUAGAGUCCGGAAGAGGCGAGUGGAAUUCCCGGUGUAGCGGUGAAAUGCGCAGAUAUCGGGAGGAACACGAAUGGCAAAGGGAGCUCGCUGGGAAGGUACUGACGCUAGGACGCGAAAGCGUGGGGAGCAAACAGG